AUUAUACAGCGAAACUGCGAAUGGCUCAUUAUAUAAGUUAUCGUUUAUUUGAUAGUACCUUACUACUUGGAUAACCGUGGUAAUUCUAGAGCUAAUACAUGCUAAAAAUCCCGACUUCGGAAGGGAUGUAUUUAUUAGAUUAAAAACCAAUGCCCUCCGGGGCUCACUGGUGAUUCAUGAUAACUCCUCGAAUCGCAUGGCCUUGCGCCGGCGAUGGUUCAUUCAAAUUUCUUCCCUAUCAACUUUCGAUGUUUGGGUAUUGGCCAAACAUGGUUGCAACGGGUAACGGAGGGUUAGGGCUCGACCCCGGAGAAGGAGCCUGAGAAACGGCUACUACAUCCAAGGAAGGCAGCAGGCGCGCAAAUUACCCAAUCCCGACUCGGGGAGGUAGUGACAAUAAAUACUGAUACAGGGCUCUUUUGGGUCUUGUAAUUGGAAUGAGUACAAUUUAAAUCCCUUAACGAGGAACAAUUGGAGGGCAAGUCUGGUGCCAGCAGCCGCGGUAAUUCCAGCUCCAAUAGCGUAUAUUAAAGUUGUUGUGGUUAAAAAGCUCGUAGUUGAACCUUGGGCCUGGCUGGCCGGUCCGCCUCACCGCGUGUACUGGUCCGGCCGGGCCUUUCCCUCUGUGGAACCCCAUGCCCUUCACUGGGUGUGGCGGGGAAACAGGACUUUUACUGUGAAAAAAUUAGAGUGCUCCAGGCAGGCCUAUGCUCGAAUACAUUAGCAUGGAAUAAUAGAAUAGGACGUGUGGUUCUAUUUUGUUGGUUUCUAGGACCGCCGUAAUGAUUAAUAGGGACAGUCGGGGGCAUCAGUAUUCAAUUGUCAGAGGUGAAAUUCUUGGAUUUAUUGAAGACUAACUACUGCGAAAGCAUUUGCCAAGGAUGUUUUCAUUAAUCAGGAACGAAAGUUAGGGGAUCGAAGACGAUCAGAUACCGUCGUAGUCUUAACCAUAAACUAUGCCGACUAGGGAUCGGACGAUGUUAUAUUUUGACUCGUUCGGCACCUUACGAGAAAUCAAAGUGC
rnacentral:rRNA from 1 species